ensembl:lncRNA
CCCUCACUUGUCCCCGGGAGCCCUCGUUCAGCCAUCACUUAUAUGUGAUUCUGACUGGAGUUACAGUUCUGUCCCCUAGAGCCUUUGAUGUGUUUCAUAAAUUCAUUCUUGGUGUCAAGUAAGACUUCUAUCAUCUGACUCUUUCAUCACCUGGUCUUAAAUGGGGGGUGGGGGGGGGGCUUCCAUGCUUCUAGGUUAUUGGCGAGUGUAUAAGAAGUAAAGGCCACUGGACCAGGAGUCAGGAGUCAUUCCUGUUUAUUCACCUGCCUCCUUGGCCUACCUGCUUGACUAUCUCAUAGUUAUGAUCAACACACAGGGUCCAAGACGGUCCCAUCCUCUGCCUCCCUAAACCUCCUCCAGGGCUCUCAUCUUGGCCAAAGCUCCCGCCAUCCUUCUUGUCCUUAAGGCAGAAACUUUGGUGUCUCCGUUUCUGCACUGCAAUCCACCAUAUCUCCAGGUCUAGGGAAACUUAACCUAUAAAUGGAAUCUGCGCACUUUUCUCCAUCUUCUCUUCCCCAGCAUCUCAGUCAAGCCACCACUAUGUGUCCCCAGGACGACAGCACCAGUCUCCGAUCUACCAGUGACCUCCCCUCCACCCCUGUCUCGGGAUGAUAGUCAGAGUGAUCAGUUCCAAAGAAGACAACAGCAGGCCCCCCCAUUUUCUGGUUGAAACACUGAACCAUCUUCCUGGUGCUUUUAGAAUAAAAUUGUGACCAUGACCUAGAAGUGUCUGAGUGAUCCGGCCCCUGCUCUUUCUUUGGCCUCAUCUCCUACCCUCCCCUAGAUUCUGCACUUGGUGUCCUCUCUUGCAUGUGCUGGUCCCUCCUUCUGGAAUACUCAAACAGUUGUCAUCUAAUGAAUGGGUUAAGGUUGGGGAAGGUAAGAUGGAGUGGGAGAGGGUCUGGUGGUCCUUACUGUUACCCCUUAAAUAUUUCCAGUUCAUCCAGGCACAUGUAGCAUUGAAUCUAGGUCCCCUUGUGUUGGGUGGGGCCAUGGGACUGGCUGGUGAAUUGUGAACUCCAGGGACAUAUGUCAUUUCAAGGCCAAAGCAUCUAGUUGCUGGUGGGAGACCCUCCCGGGUGCUCUUUUCCUGUGUCCUGGCAACUGGCAGGAGGUGGAAUGGCUGCUUCUGCUAGCCUGGGUCCUUGCAUCACUACUGGAGUGGAGCCCCUUGCUGCCCCAUAAUGGACAUCCAGCAUGAGUGAUAACUAAGCCUUUCUUGUUUUAAAACCCUGAGAUUUGGGGGUUGUUUGUUACUGCAGCAUAACCUAGCGUGUGCUGACUGAUACAGAGACUAGAGGAGUGAUCCAGGCAGAGCAAGUACAUACACACCGACUUGGGAAGGCUCACUCUGAGCAGCCAUGGUGACCUUUUAGACAAAUAAAUCUGAGUCUGUCAGCCCCUGGCUGAAAACUCUUCAGGGGUUCCCAUUGUAUUUAGGGGAAAAGAGAGAAAACCUUCAGUUACCCUCUAGACACGAUGGGAAAACCAUCUUACAUCCCCGUUUUUGCCACGUUUAGCCUAACGUGGUGCUGUCCUCAUGUUCUCCCCUCUGCUCUGACUGCAUUCCACUCUUCCUUUAGGCCUCCUCAUCCUUUAUCUUUCAGCUUCAGCAUCACCUCAGGGAAGCCCUCUGUGACUAGAUGGAACCCCCCCCCCCCAUUAAGGCCUCUCACGGCCCCACCAACCUCGUGUUUUUAGCAGUUGCCUUAGUGGCAAUUUUACAUUUACUGGUGUAAUUAUCAACUGCAGUCUCACUCUUUCAUCAGACCAUAGGCUCUGCGAGGGCGGUGCCUGGCUUGGCGUGUGUGUGUGCCACUGUCUCCACGUCUGUGCAGGAGAGCUGCUCAGUGAAUACCUUCUGAUGAGUCCCUAAGCUUUGGCUCUGGGCUCCCAGUGUGCAGGGGCCAAAGGCAGGACUGAUGGAUGCUGCUUCCCUGGGGUGUGGGCAGAAGGGCCCAGUUAGGAGGAGCUGUCGGGCAUGGCAGGCAAAAGCCACUGGUCCAUAGAAGACAGAUGCUAAACUCUUACUAGGCAUCCGUGCGCCAUGUUUCUGGGCCAUGAUUCUGGGAUGUACAAGAGAAAAUUCUAAGAGGGCAAAGAGGGUGAGAUUUAACAAACCCUUGAGGUCUCUGAUCUGGAGGGUGUAUGAGUCAGUGAAGGGGCCACAUAGUAGGAGAUCCAGGGCUGAUGAAGGUGAAGAUGCUGCUGCUGAAGGCAGCUAAUGUUUAUCGUGUGCCAGGUGUGGUCCUAAGCAUGUCACGUACCCUCUGCAGAAAACAGCUCCAACAAGGUAGGUCUUAUUAUGUCCAUUUCACAGAUGGGGAAACUGAGGCCCCAAGCGGUGAAGUGAAGGAUCCGGUUUACACAGUGGUGUGGCCGGGAUUGGAACCUUGGCAGUCGGAUGUCCUCUCCCUAGGGAUGCCCUCUUGGAGUGAGGGCAGGGGACCCCAGACCUCCCAAGGAGAAGCCCCUUUGGAAAUGCCACACGGGGUUAUAGAGUUUCCAGGAGGUCACACCCACCUAACAUUGGGGUUUGAGCAAAAGGGUUCCUGGCCCAGAGGUGCCUGGUGGCCUUGGUGCCAGGGCUGGUCUGGAACCAUCUGGUGCUUCUCCACCCCUCUUGGGGCCUGGGAGUCCUUAGGGGCCCAGGGCCCCGUGUUCUUAAAGUGGAGCCUGGGAGGGACUUUCCUGCAGCUGGCCCAAGGGCUGCACCGGAAAAAGAAGCCAUGCAGAAAGGAAAAAAAAAAAAAAA